CCUACGGGAGGCAGCAGUGGGGAAUAUUGCACAAUGGGGGAAACCCUGAUGCAGCGACGCCGCGUGAGUGAUGAAGUAUUUCGGUAUGUAAAGCUCUAUCAUCAGGGAAGAUAAUGACUGUACCUGACUAAGAAGCUCCGGCUAAAUACGUGCCAGCAGCCGCGGGAAUACGUAUGGAGAAAGCGUUAUCCGGAUUUACUGGGUGUAAAGUGAGCGCAGACGGUGGGGCAAGUCUGAUGUGAAAGUCCGGGGCUCAACCCCGGGACUGCAUUGGAAAAUGUCCGGCUAGAGUGCAGGAGAGGUCAGUGGAAUUCCAAGUGUAGCAGUGGAAUGCGUAGAUAUUAGGAGGAACACCAGUGGCGAAGGCGGCUUACUGGACUGUAACUGACGUUGAGGCUCGAAAGCAUGGGGAGCAAACAGGAUUAGAUACCCUUGUAGUC
rnacentral:rRNA from 1 species